rnacentral:lncRNA from 12 species
AUGGUCCCAUUUCUGAUUCCCCCCCUCCCGCCUCUGCCAGGGGAAGACACCCUAUACUCAGUGGAGAACUGGACUGCACGUAUCAUGCAGGUUUUAACUUGGCACAGCUACUCCAGAGCCACCACCUCCCCGCACCCUUCACAUCAGCAAUGGCUUAUGACCAGCCAGGUAACCAGGGAAGGUCCUGGGAAGGGGUAUGGCCCUUCCCACCUGCUUGGGGCUGAAGGCACUGCCAUCUUGGACCACGUGGAAGAUCUAGAAUGGGUGAGAAGACGAGAGCCACAUUCCCCAACCUCAGAAGGUCACAGUACUGGUUCUCAGUUAUUUUCCAGUCUGCCUCCCUCCACACAAAACAAGAAAAGGACACACAGGUUUUGUUUUACACCAGUUGAUUUUUAUCAUUAAGCCAAAUGCCUGAAGCGGAGCAUUUAGAGGAGCAAAUGGAGAAUCUGAGUCUUGUUGGAUGUCAGCCAGAGAGUAUGCCCAGAGGCAGGCCUUCCGCACAUCCUUCCUCCUCAACCCCAUUAACUUACAUCAAUAAGGCUUCUUUGGGAUUGUCCACAUCACCCUGUUCAGAUCAAUUAUUACUUGAACAGAAUUUUUCUGAGACCCAGCCUAGCAUUUUGUUAGCAUGGACUCUGGAGUUACCCUACCAGGGGCUGAAACCCAAGUCCGUUCUAGAAGGUUCUUCACCUUUAUUAUUUUGGUUUUUGCCUUUGGACAAGAGGCAGGGAUCAGGGUGAGGUAGAUGAGGCAGUCCCCUCAAGUGCCAAUAUAGAGAGUUGCCAAAAAUCUCACUGACCAAGGUCAAUGCUUUAAUACAAUUUUAUGUGAUAGGAUCCAAUCUACCCCUGCAGAGUUGGCCCUAAUUCCCAGGCCAACUUCUAACACUAAUUCACGAAAAUACAGUGACUGACCUGUGAGCCAGAGUUUGUCAAUUAUUUCUUGGUUACAGAGCUUUUGGUGCCCCAGGCAAGUGCCUCCCUUCCCUUACCCUAGUCCCAGUUCUGGAUGGCACUGGGAGAAACCAGUGAUGGCAGGUUAAGUUCAGCAUAGUGCCUGGCUCAGAGUAGGGACUCAUGUUGUCAUGGCAACAGAAAUGGGGGUUUCAUCUUUAAGAAACUAGAUGCGGGGAUUAAAAAAAAAUCCCUUGUUCUGUAGUGUUUAGAAGGCAGCAGGAAACUAAGAAAAAAAAAAGUGAGGUCAUCUGGAUUUCUGGACUCUUCUCUGGAGAUUUUAUAGCCAAUCUAAAUACGGAUCAGAAAGACCCGGUUUUUCCUAAGGCCUAAUCUUGAACUCGUCUGUUGCAUGAAGUAGCCCCCUGCCUUGAAGGGACACCCCCCCCCCCAAGACAUUUAGCAUUCUCAGUACCUCUUUCCCACAUUUUAAACACAUGAUCAUUUAC